GACGCUUAACCAUCUGAGCCACCCAGGUGCCUCUGAAAUGACUUCUAAAGUACAUAUAUUAAGAUAGAAGAAAUUUUAAAUAAAAAUCAAGGUCAAGAAAAAGACUAGGGGGAACUUAAAUACACACACAAAUCACAGGGUCUCAUAAUUACUAACAGUGAGGUGUGAAUUUGGCUCUGAGCUUCCUGGCAGCCUAAGCAAUAAGAGAAAGGUGAUCCAUUUAAUGAUUCACUUUUUCCCUGAGGAAACACACACCCAUUCUUCAGGGAGAGCAAUGGGAUCCCUGCUCUGAGUUCCGGCAAGUGGUUUCCCCCGCCACUGAGAGCUGUAAGCAUGGUGAGGCAGUGUCUCACCCCAGUCCUCUCUUGGUCAUCUGUCUCCACUGAUGACUCUUCUGGGCCCCAUGCUGUUCCAUGGCCUGUGCUGGUCUGUGCUUGCCCUGCAGUUGUGCUAACCAAGGCUCUUCAUGACAAAGUUGCAGAGAAUUGUCAAAACCUCAUGGUCUCGCAGAGUUUACACUUGAAAUGUGGCGUCUUUGUUGACUGGCUAGGGCUCUGGCGACUGUUGUUCUGAAUUUGCCAUUGGAAAGACACAUGCAAACGCUGGGACCUAAGGCACCUCUCACUCUUCUGAGGAGGUGCCUGCAAAAUGGAGGCAUUUAAUAAGGGUCUUUCUGGCUUUGCCAGCCCUGUACUUCCUGGUUUCUCUUUGAGAGUCUCUGAGCCGCCUUGCAGGGCUGGAGGGGUUUUAGGAUUUAACUUUUUGAACAGCAACUAGGUGAGGUACCACCUGAACAAAACACCCCCUUCUCCCCCUUUGGCCACAGUCCAUCCCUGAGUCACCCUCUCUUCGCUCCCCCGUCAUUUUAACCACUUCCUGCUUGCCUUUUGUUGUCUAGAUAGCAUGGUCAGAAUGACAUAUUUGAACACUUCCCUGCCAUCUCAUGUAAUUUUCCCUUCCAGGCUGAUUCCUUUUCUGAAUGUUAGAAUUCUGUCUUCUGAGGAUCUAAGUUACAUUUCUGACAGCGCUAGUAAAAUAAUGAUGUUCGCUCAUAUGUAUUGAAUGCUCCCGAAAGGCAGGCACUGGGCUCGGCUUUUUCCAUCCCGUCUCUCACUCCUCCCAACAGCCCCAGGAAAUAGAUACUGUGAUUAUCCUCAUUUUUCAGAAUGGGAAGAAGGAGCCCAAGACCAGUUGUCCCACGUCACCCAGAGUGUAAAAUGUGGAGCUGGCAUUGGCCCUCGGAUCAUCUGACCAGAGUCUGUGUGCUUGACCAUCACCCAGGACCCCCUUCCACGGUAUCUAAAGGACAUUCAGUCCCCCUGAGGGUCUCUCGUUCCCCUGUUGAUCAGGAUUAGUGCCAGAGCUCCGUGGUGACGGCGUCUUCUCCCUCCCGGACAAUGGGAAUAUCAGCAAAGCAAGAGUUUGUCAGAUGUUUUUUAACGAAAUGAUGACCUUUCCAGCAGAUGAUUUGGGUCUCCCAGCCCUACUGGCCGCUGGGCAGGCUGGGGGACUGCCCCCAGGUUUUAUCCAGCCCGGCCAUCUGGGUGACCAACAUCGUUGCUUGGGCUGGUGUUUCUCCCUCUUCCUCUGUCCCCUAGGCCCUCCUGGGUGUCUCCUCUCCCAGGCCCAUGGUUUCCUUGAAAGUAGACGUUUUCCUGACACACAGCUCCCUACCGUGGGUGUCAUUGCUCACCUCUGCCCCCAGGUGAGGCCGAGAGCACCCUAGCAAAGGCUCGUCUCUCUUCCCUCAGGGCCUCGAUGAAUCUCUCCAGCCCCUGAGUCCCGGGGCCACCAGCUCCGUCCUGACCUUGGGGCCACACCCUUUGCUCUGCGCUGGCUCUUGCUUCAGUUGUCCCACUAAAUCCUCAGACUGUCUUCACCAGAGAUGCUGCCUUCAUGCACAGUGAGGGCAGAUCCCAGAAGCUGCAGCCCAGCAGAGCCCGCCCUCCUGUCUGCCAAAAGCGUGUCCGUCACUUGCCUCCAACAUGCAGCUGCUUUUUCCUCUGGGCAAACGUUCACCCCCAGUCAGCAUUGAGUGGUCCCAUCUGCUUCACGUGGUCCCCACAAGAAAGUCCCAUCAGUUCCACAUGGGACAGAGUGGCCACCCAGUCAGUGCCAAGCCCUGAACAAUGCUUCCUGCGGAGUCCCUGCCUGUGGGGCCUCCGGCCACUGGAAGCCAAAUGCCCUUAAUGGAUGGAAAGGCCCGAGUGUUUAGCGGAAAUGAGAGGCUGCUAUUCCAGAGACUCUUGGUAGAGAACCUUGCUGUGUCCCUCCUCGUCUAGGUCUUGGUGACGUCUAAGAGGUGGACCAAAGUGGCACUGGAUUAAAGGGAACUCCAAGGCUACAUGGAAGUGUGUUAAGUAAAUAUGGGUUGAAUAAAAUGAUGUCACAGGGUCCACAACCCAAAAGACGUGGUAGAGAAAGAAUGUCUUCAACUCCUGUACAGAAUGUCUUCCUCAAGAGUCUGCUGGGUUAUUGUCACAAGAGCCCCGUGAGAUUCAAGAGUCAGGGGCUAACCCUCAGAAGGGACAGAGAGGGAAGUGAAGAUGGAAGUGAGGACAAUGACUGACUUAGCAAUGGCAAUCCACAGUGGUCUUGUGUGUUCCUGGUUUCUGCCUCAUUAACUGGAACCUAAGGUCCCUUCACAGAAAAUAGAUAGCUGCAUUCAAAGGCUUUAAAAAGAAAAGAUGCCAAAUAUGGAAAAUGGAUUACAGGGUGACACAGCUCUUGCAAAAACGGAGGCAAAGGAGUGUGGGCUCUGGAGUCCGAGUCCACCAGCUCUGUAGACUCAGGGCCAAACAGCUCGCCUCCCUCUCUGCCUGUGUCCCCGCGCCCCCAGAGAUGGGGCUAAUGACCGUGUCACCCCCAGGGCUGACAUCGGGGUUCCAGGAGGCCUGAGUUGACCAUCAGGGUGACGUGGACACACACGGCAGAAGGAAGGCCACUUCAUCAGGCUACUGUGAACAAGCAAAGUCAGGAAACCUUGGGAGUAAGAUUUGUCAUCUUGCGGGGGAGGCUCUCUGUGCGAGCUGACUUCGUGAUUAUCUGCGGCUCAGAGCUUCCUGUCCUCGGUCACAGUAAACAGGGAGCCGGCGCUGCGGCGGAUCGCGCCUUCCAUCCCUGUUGCAGACCGUUCCCUCUCUGAGCGUGGGCAUUAGCAGGGGUGCCGGUGUGGUGACAGGGAGCCCAGGGCGAGUGCGGAGCAGGGAACAGGAUCUACUCUUGGCCACUUCAGGGAUGGAUCAGAGAGGCCCACAGGAAACCCAGAAAACCAAGGACAGCGAAGGAGACCAUCAACAAAUCUAAAAGGCAACCUACUGAAUGCAAGAGGAUAUUUGCAAACGCCAUAUACAACAAAGGGCUAGUACCCAAACUAUAUAAAGAACUGAUACAACAACACAGAAAAAAUAUAA